UACGUAGGGGGCUAGCGUUGUCCGGAUUUAUUGGGCGUAAAGCGCGUGUAGGCGGCCAGAUAGGUCCGCUGUGAAAACUCGAGGCUCAACCUCGAGACGUCGGUUGAAACCGUAUGGCUAGAGUCCGGAAGAGGAGAGUGGAAUUCCCGGUGUAGCGGUGAAAUGCGCAGAUAUCGGGAAGAACACCCGUGGCGAAGGCGGCUCUCUGGGACGGUACUGACGCUGAGACGCGAAAGCGUGGGGAGCGAACAGG
rnacentral:rRNA from 1 species